rnacentral:misc_RNA from 1 species
AAGUCGUAACAAGGUUUCCGUAGGUGAACCUGCGGAAGGAUCAUUAGUGAAUUGAGCUGGCUUCGGCCGCUCUGAUCUAUACACACCUGGGAACUGUUGGCCUUCGGGUCUUUAAAUACAACUGUGACGAACGUAAUUUAUUAUAAUCAAUAAAACUUUUAACAACGGAUCUCUUGGCUCUC